ACUCGUUGGUAAGGUAGUGGCUUACCAAGGUUGCAACGGGUAACGGGGAAUCAGGGUUCGAUUCCGGAGAGGGAGCCUGAGAAACGGCUACCACGUCCAAGGAUGGCAGCAGGCGCGUAAAUUACCCAAUCCAGACAAUGGGAGGUGGUGACCAGAAGUACUGGGUGGUGGAUUUAUCCACUAAUCCCAGAAUGAGCAUAAUGUUAAAAAUUGGUCGAGUAACAACUGGAGGGCAAGUCUGGUGCCAGCAGCCGCGGUAAUUCCAGCUCCAGUGGCAUGUCGUAAAGUUGUUGCGUUUAAAACGCUCGUAGUUGGAUCAUACUGUAUCGGCUAGUUAACUGCUAGUACGACGAAACUAUGCCUUAGUUGCGGUCAGGUGUCACACUUGAAGCAAUUGAGGUGUAGUGUCGAGCUAGUUAGUUAUCCGCUAGUCGAUACUACUUGCACGUGAGGAUGGUGAUUGGCCUUAAGUGCGUCGGUCAUUGUGUCUCACGGAGUGUGCCUUGAAUAAAUCAGAGUGCCCAAAGCAGGCUUGCGCCUGAAUGAUACAGCAUGGAACGAACAAACGUGUAAAACACAUGUGUUACGGCAGUUUUGUUGUAACGCGUGUGCAUCACCAACCGCCAUGUACGGAUGUUGGUUUCCGUAUUGGGGUGAGGAUUAAAACGAGCGGUUGGGGGCAUUGGUAUUUGGCCGCGAGAGGUGAAAUUCUUAGACCGGCCAAGGACUAACAAAAGCGAAGGCAUUUGCCAAGACCGUUUCGAUUGAUCAAGAACGAAAAUGAGAGGUUCGAAGACGAUCAGAUACCGUCCUAGUUCUCAUAGUAAACAAUGCCGACCCGGGAUCAGUUUAGAGCUAAUUUUAACGCUCCAGGUUGGUCCCCCUGGGAAACCUAAAGUGUUUGGGUUACGGGGGGAGUAUGGUCGCAAGGCUGAAACUUAAAGGAAUUGACGGAAGGGCACCACCAGGGGUGGAGCCUGCGGCUUAAUUUGACUCAACACGGGAAAACUCACCGGUUCCGGACGUCAAAAGGAUAGACAGACUGAUAGAUCUUUCUUGAUAUGAUGUGUGGUGGUGCAUGGCCGUUCUUAGUUCGUGAAGUGAUUUGUCAGGUUGAUUCCGGUAACGAACGAGACCUAGUUCUCUAUUUACAGAGCGGAAUGGCAGAAAUGCCCUGGUUAAGAGAGCCGGUAGAAAAGUAACAUUUGAUACUGGCUUUUAAGACCAUUCUUUCGCUAUGUCGUUCGCGGAAACGCGAGCGGCUGCAUAGAGAGACAACUGACUUUUAAAUCAGAGGAAGUUAGGCAAUAACAG
rnacentral:rRNA from 1 species